rnacentral:lncRNA from 1 species
GGCAAGCAUGCUGCCUUGGGGCUAAAUCCCCAAACCCAGCCCUGCAUUUUUAUAUUUGAAACAAAUGUUAAUACUUGUCUUGUCUAAGAAAAUGAAUAAUUUGAAAUUUAUUAGCUAAAAUGGAACAUUUUUUUGAUUAAAAGCUGGUUCAGUCUUAAGGUUUUUUCCUUUGGGAAAGUGGCUUUAGGAGUAAUAAAGGUGUUUAGAGAUAUAGAAGCAUGGCUGAAGAGCUGUUGUUAAUAAUGAUGAACAAAUGUACUACCCACAUAUGCAUAUGAUCCAACUUGCUCCCUUUUUCUUAACAUCAGUGAUAGGUUUCCUUUAUGAUCAAAGAAUAGACAUUCGUUAGAGGCUUGGUUAAUGGCAAAGGGCCUAGUGUGGGUGGAAACAAAAUAUUUUUUUCUCUACACAAUUAACUGGCCUAAAUGUGACUCAAAUCCAUGGCCUUGGACUCAUUAGUACAAUGCUCUAACUAAUUAAACUAAUGAAUCUCAAAAUAAUGACAAAUUCUUUUUGAAAGGAGAAGGUUCUUCUUUAACUUGGCUUGUUAAAACUGAUGCAGACUAUUAAGCAAGGAUGCCAAAAAUGUGCUAAUAAUUUCUGAAAUCACAAUGACAAUAGAGAGAAUGUCAUUUUUUCUCCCUAUUCUUGUUCAUAAAUGCAGAGAAUGUCAUAAAUUGGUAUUCUGUAUUCUACUGACCAAGUGUUAUUAGUAACAAUAAAUGUAAAAGCUGAUAGGAAAAAAUAAAAAAAAAAGGAAGACAAAUCAGAAAUGCAGGAUAUGGCUAAAAUACUAUGUGUGCAUGUACCCACAAAUAAUGAGCACUCAUGAAAUCUAAUAUAUUUUCUCUUGUGACUCAUUUGGUGCAGAAUCUGAGACCAAAUGAAUAUAAAACCACCAAAUCUGGUAUUAGGAGAUCAUCAAAUAAACUGAGUAAUUAAUUUAUUUGAGUCAUUGAUCAAUUUGGAGAUCCUAAUACCCACUGCAAGAAGACUGAAGCAGAUGCAUCAUUUUGCUUAUUAUGUUACCUUAAGGAUUCAUCCAGACAACCAUAGAAUCCUUUGCCCAUUACUCAUUAGCUAAGUGAUGCAUUUAAAUAAAAUGGUGUUUUCUGAAGCAUGUCCCUUGGAUUUGCAAUUAAUAUUUGCUUUAAAGACCUUGAUAUGUAUUCCAGUAAAGAAACUGUGUAAUAUUUUCUAACCCAGAAUUUACCAAAAUUAAUUGCCUGUGGAGUCUUUUUUUCUUUUUAUCAGUGACAACUAUUAUUGUACUUCUAAACCCACUUUGAGAGAUGGUGACGUAAAAUGUGCUUGUAUUCCUACUGAGAAAGCAUGUAAAAAUAAAUGAAAAUUACUUUUAUAUUGUAGAAGUAUCACAAGAGAGAAAUUGAGGCCCAAUUUUGUUU